rnacentral:tRNA from 2 species
GGGGCAUUAGCUCAGCUGGGAGAGCACGACGCUGGCAGCGUCGGGGUCAGCGGUUCGAGUCCGCUAUGCUCCACCA